rnacentral:rRNA from 1 species
CAUGCAAGUCGAACGGUCUUUCUAUGGAAGCUUGCUCCACUGAGAAGAUAGUGGCGAACGGGUGAGUAACACGUGGGUAACCUGCCCAUAAGAGGGGGGAUAACAUCCGGAAACGGGUGCUAAUACCGCAUAGUUUUCUUGAUCGCAUGAUCGGGAAAGGAAAGACGGCCUUUGUGCUGUCGCUUAUGGAUGGACCCGCGGCGUAUUAGUUAGUUGGUGAGGUAACGGCUCACCAAGACGAUGAUACGUAGCCGACCUGAGAGGGUGAUCGGCCACAUUGGGACUGAGACACGGCCCAAACUCCUACGGGAGGCAGCAGUAGGGAAUCUUCCGCAAUGGACGAAAGUCUGACGGAGCAACGCCGCGUGAGUGAAGAAAAGGUUUUCGGAUCGUAAAACUCUGUUGUCAGAGAAGAACAAGUUGGAGAGUAACUGCUCCAGCCUUGACGGUAUCUGACCAGAAAGCCACGGCUAACUACGUGCCAGCCGCAGC